rnacentral:rRNA from 1 species
CGAAGUCUGGUGCCAGCAGCCGCGGUAAUUCCAGCUCCAAUAGCGUAUAUUAAAGUUGUUGCAGUUAAAAAGACUCGUAGUUGAAUUUCGGGACUAAUAUGUCGGUCGUACUUUGUACGUACUAACAUUAUUGGUUUCUUCCUUCUGACGAACCACGAUGUCAUUAAUUUGGUGUCGCGGGAAAUCAGGACUGUUACUUUGAAAAAAUUAGAGUGUUUAAAGCAAGCUCGCGCUUGAAUACAUUAGCAUGGAAUAAUGAAAUAGGACGUUUGAUUCUAUUUUGUUGGUUUCUAGGAUCGACGUAAUGAUUAAUAGGGAUAUUGGGGGCAUUAGUAUUCAAUUGUCAGAGGUGAAAUUCUUGGAUUUAUUGAAGACUAACUACUGCGAAAGCAUUUGCCAAGGAUGUUUUCAUUAAUCAAGAACGAAAGUUAGGGGAUCGAAGACGAUCAGAUACCGUCGUAGUCUUAACCAUAAACUAUGCCGACUAGGGAUCGGAUGAUGUUAAUUUUUUAAUGACUCAUUCGGCGUCUUACG